UACAGAGGGGGCAAGCGUUGUUCGGAAUUACUGGGCGUAAAGGGCGCGUAGGCGGCCCGCUAAGUCGAACGUGAAAUCCCCGGGCUCAACCCGGGAACUGCGUCCGAUACUGGUGGGCUUGAAUCCGGGAGAGGGAUGCGGAAUUCCAGGUGUAGCGGUGAAAUGCGUAGAGUAUCUGGAGGAACACCGGUGGCGAAGGCAGCUCGCUGGGACGUUACUGACGCUGAGACGGCGAAAGCGUGGGGAGCAAACAGG
rnacentral:rRNA from 1 species